AGUAACUGCUGAACAGAACUCUAUGAAGAGACUGCUUUGCUUGAGAUCUCUGGGCAAUUCCUGCUGUUUUCUGGUGAGCAAGGAGGUUGGCAACCAUUCCAUGUCAAUCUCAUGUAUAGGAAGACUUUCAUGAUGGACAGAUGAACAACUUCCCAGGAAGGAAUCCAGUCUCUUCUCUGCAUCAUGCCCAUGAGGUUGCUUGAGCCCCGUCAUGGAAAGGAGAGAGGUGAUUUGGAAGAUCCUCAAGCACAAAGAGAAAGGACCUGUGUCCUAGAAAGUGUUGCACUGGCUGGCAUUCAUAGUGCUGCCAACUGCAAAUCCAGGUGCAGAAGCUACAGCAAUUAAUAUUAAUCUGAAUUUGAUUAUUUGGCUCUUCAGCUUUUCAUUGGAUUAUGUUGACUUUGUAAUUUGAUUGCUACACAGAUGUAAGCUGUGCUGAUUGCAUUAAAAUAUGCAAAGGAAAUUAAAAGUAUUACCAAGUGAUGUUCUGAAAACAGUUCUUCCUUGCUGGCUGUGAAAACUUCCUUUUGGGAAGAGAAAAGCAAAGGAAAUUAAUGAUUAUACUAUAAUGCCAACCACUGAGUUACAAAUAACCCAUCUACAUGGAUAAUAAGUAUUGAACCUGUUAUUCUUUGUUUCUGGACUAAUAUGUGUUAUAUAACUAAUAAAAACUUAAUAGACUAUAUAAUGCUCUAUAAUGUGCUAAAAUAGGAGAUUAAAAGGUGAGACCCAGAAGGGAAGCUCCAGCAUUGCUGCUUUGCUCCUGCAGUACUUCUGAAGAUCCCCUACACUAAACUUUGGCACAAACACUGCUGUGCCACUGCUGAGGCUCAGCCAAUCCCUGGGUGAUUCCCAGCAGAGUUCUGUGGCCAUCACCAUCUAUCUCACAGUCCUCUUUAAACAAUAUUAACUGGGGAGAACUGAGCCACAAAAAGGAUCUUCCUGUUCUAUUUUGUGGCCAGGAAAAGGUGCCUCUCCACUGACAGCCGCAGUACCCAAGGGAGUUUCUAAUACACAUCAAUUCUGUGUGUGAUGGGACACAAAGUGGCCCAUCUGUUACUUCCACAAGUUAUUUUGAAAGCAU